rnacentral:tRNA from 3 species
GUCCCCCUAGCUCAAUGGAUAGAGCAGCGCUCUUCUAAGGCGUUGAUGUGGGUUCGACUCCUGCGGGGGACG